AAGACUAUACUUUCAGGGAUCAUUUCUAUAGUUCUUAACUAGGAAGAGUAUUGUGAAAGUGAUGAGUCUCCCAAAUCAUGAUGAAGAAUUUUGAUACCUUUUUUUUGAGCAUGAAUCAGGUGUAGAGUAAUGAUUUAGUUCAUAUGCUUUGUAUCAUUGAUGAAUGUUCGUUGCUGUUAAGUACAGUGAAGAGGAAGAGAGUAUGAGCUGAGUGGU